rnacentral:rRNA from 1 species
AACGAACGCUGGCGGCGUGGAUUAGGCAUGCAAGUCGAACGCGAAAGAGGGAGCAAUCCCUCGAGUAGAGUGGCGAACGGGUGAGUAACGCGUGAAGAACCUGCCUUCAACAGGGGGAUAACACUCCCAACGGGGUGCUAAUACCGCAUGAGACCACGGGAUCGCAUGGUCCUGAGGUCAAAGGUGGCCUCUAUUUAUAAGCUACCGGUUGAAGAUGGCUUCGCGUCCCAUUAGCUAGUUGGCGGUGUAAAAGACCACCAAGGCGACGAUGGGUAGCUGGUCUGAGGGGAUGGUCAGCCACACUGGGACUGAGAUACGGCCCAGACUCCUACGGGAGGCAGCAGUCGAGAGGCUUUGGCAAUGGGGAAACCCUGACCAAGCGACGCCGCGUGGAGGAUGAAGGCCCUUGGGUUGUAAACUCCUUUUGCUAGGGAAGAAAUGCGAUCAGGUGAAUAAUCUGGUCGUUUGACGGUACCUGGCGAAUAAGCUCCGC